rnacentral:lncRNA from 1 species
GUUCUUCUUCUUCUCCUCCUCCUCCUCCUCCUCCACCACCACCUCCUCCUCCUCCUCCUCCUCCUCCUUCUUCUUCUCCUUCUUCUUCUCCUUCUUCUUCUCCUUCUUCUUCUCCUUCUUCUUCUUCUUCUUCUUCUUCUUCUUCUUCUUCUUCUUCUUCUUCUUCUUCUUCUUCUUCUUCUUCUUCUUCUUCUUCUUCUUCUUCUUCUUCUUCUUCUUCUUCUUCUUCUUCUUCUUCUUCUUCUUCUUCUUCUUCUUCUUCUUCUUCUUCUUCUUCUUCUUCUUCUUCUUCUUCUUCUUCUUCUUCUUCCUCUCCUCUCUUCUCCUCCUCCUCUUCCUUCUCUUUCCCCUUCUUUCCCUUCUCUUCUUCCUCUUUCUCCUCUUCCUUCUCCUCUUCCUCCUCUGUCUCUAUCUUCUUCUUCUCCUCUUCCUUUCCCUUUUUCUCAUCUUAUGGCUUUAGUGCAACUGCAUCAGAAGUGCCUUGGAGUCCAUCAGCUGCUUUUUCUUCAGAGUAUAAUAUUCUCAUCUUUGAGAAGAGCUUCUCAGUUCCAUACCUCCAGUGAUUGGAGCAUUUGGAGCAUUGCUCACCCAGCAUGUGAAGACUGCUUCGGCCGAACAGACGGAAGAAACCAAUAAGAAGGUUCAAUGGCUGAGAUGGCGACGCAGCAAAGCACUGUGGAGUGCUUAGGGCGUGUUGGAGCACAAAGGACAACACGGCCAUCCAAUGCAGCUGAGGAAGUCUCCAGGUGUAACGACCUUUUGUGCCACUGGACCCAGGCUUCCAACGCCAAGAGAGUGGGACUGUCUCUGUGCAUCGACUUUUCCACUUAAAUCUUCUUCAUGCACAGGUGUCUUUGUGCACACUCAUCUAUACACCAUAGAUGAAAACGCACAAAGACAAUCAUCAUGCUCAGUUACCAAGAGACUACUACUACUACUACUACUACUAGUGAUUUGGAGCAUUUCCUCAUAUGACUAUAGAUAAUUUUAAUUUCUUCAUCUAAGAACUGUAUGUUCCUAUCCUAUAAAUGGUCAACAUUUAUCAAUUGGGGAAUGUUUUUUAUUCUUAUAAAUUCACCUUAGUUCUCUAUAUAUUUGAGAAAUGAGACCUUUGUUAGAGACACUUGCUAUAAAAUUCCUACUCCCCUCCCAAUAUGUUGUUUCCUUUUUAAUUUUGUUUGCAUUGCUUUUGGUUGUACAGAAGCUUUUAAAUUUAACAUAAUCAAAAUUAUUCAUUUCUUUUUUUGUAAUGUUCUCUCUGCCUUGUUUGAUCAUAAAUUCUUUGCUUAUACAUAAGUCUGACAGGUAAACUUUUCUGGGUUCUCCUAAUUUGUUUAUGAUAUCCCCCUUUAUUUCUAGAUAAAAUAUCCAUUUUUAUUUUAUCUUGGAAUAUCAGACUUUGGUCUUUGCCUAGUUCUUGCCAUAUUGUUUCCUAUUUUUCUCAGCAUUUUUUGUCAAAUAGUGAGUUCUUCCCUCAGUAGAUCUUUGGGUUUAUCGAGCACUAGGUUACUACAGUAAUUAACUGCUCUGUGUUGAUUUCCCAACUUCUUCCAUUGAUCCACUACUCUUAUUCUUAGCUAGUACUGGGAUGUUUUGAUAAUUACUGCUUUAUAAUAUAGUUUGAGAUCUGAUGUAGCUAGACUCCUGACUUCAUUUUUUUUCCCACUAAUUCUCUUUAUAUUCUUGACUUUUUGUUCUUCAGGUGAAUUUUAUUAUUUUUUUCUAGUUGUAGGAAAUAAUUUUUGGAUAGUUUGCCACUGAAUAAGUAAAUUGAUUUAGGUAGGAUUGCCGUUUUAAAUUUUAUUGACUUAGUCUAUCCAUGAGCAAUUGAUAUUUUUCUAGUUGUUGAGGUCUCAUUUUAUUUGUGUCAAUAGUAUCUUCUAAUUAUGUUCAUAUAGUUGCUGGGUUUGUCUUGGUAAUUAUACUUCUGGGUAUUUUAUAUUACCUAGUCUAUAUACUCUGAUUCAGGGACACUGACCUCCUUGCUCUUUGAAAAAGACAUUCUAUUUCUUUAUUCCGGGCAUUGUAACUGGCUACUCCUCAUUCCUGGAAUACUCUUCCCUCCUCAUCUUUUCCUCCUGGCUUCCCAGGCUUCUUUCAGUCUUUUCUGAUCUCCCUUAAUUCUAAUGCCUUCUUUCUAUUGAUUAUCUCCAAUUUACCCUGUGUAUAUUUUGCUUGUCCCUAGUUGUAUAUUUGUUGUCUCCCCCAAUAGACUAUGAGAUUUUUGAAACCAGGGAUUGUCUUUUGUCUUUCUUUGUACACCAGAGCUUACAAUAGUGUCUGGCUUAUAGUAGGGUGCUUAAUGUUUAUUGACUGAUUUACUCUUUUUUUGUAUGCUUUUUGUACAGGUUUUGAAUUUCUAUCCCUAGCUCCUUUUACAAUGUUUCACAUAUACUAAAUAUUUUAAAUUUGUUCAUUUAUUCAAAAUAUAUGUCUACAAUGUAAUACCUUUGACUAGUGAAUGAAAAUAAAAAUGUUUUCGUUUUCUAGUGAUGACCA